GUAGUACUCCCUUUGUUCCAAAAUUCUUGUCUUACAUUUGUUUAGAUAUGGAUGUAUCUAACACUAAAAUGUAACUAAAUGCAUCCGUAUUUAGACAAAUUUAAGACAAUAAUUUUGGGACGGAGGGAGUACAAA
rfam:Triticum aestivum genome assembly, contig: Triticum_aestivum_CS42_TGACv1_scaffold_129742_2BL